rnacentral:misc_RNA from 1 species
GAUGAAGAACGUAGCGAAAUGCGAUAAUUAAUGUGAAUUGCAGAAUUCAGUGAAUCAUCGAAUCUUUGAACGCACAUUGCGCCCGCCAGUAUUCUGGCGGGCAUGCCUGUUCGAGCGUCAUUUCAACCAUCAAGCCCCAGGCUUGUGUUGGGGACCUGCGGCUGCCGCAGGCCCUGAAAACCAGUGGCGGGCUCGCUGUCACACCGGGCGUAGUAGAUUUUAUCUCGCUCUGGGCGUGCUGCGGGUUCCGGCCGUUAAAAAACCCUUUUAACCCAAGGUUGACCUCGGAUCAGGUAGGAAUACCCGCUGAACUUAAGCAUAUCAUAAGCGGAGGA